UGCCAGUUUCGAGCAAGCCCA
rnacentral:piRNA from 1 species